UGACCAAGUCUGCCACAAAGCUCCUAGCCAGAGCCAACCACGGACAGACACCCCGACCAAAGACCGAGAGAACCGCCAUGAAGAAGACCCAACCGGCGUCAACGCGCCACUGCUCACCCGAGAGCCCACACCAAGCAAAACAAAAACGCCGGAACUCCAAGCACGAGACAGAAGGCCACAACCAUAGGAAAGACAGACACCGUCCUCACGCGCCUAAACUCGCCACCGGAGGCCACAGAUCUGAAACUUGAAAUUCUGGAUCUGAGCUUACGCAGAGCUCUCCCUGCCGCAGAGAUAAGAGAGCACAAAGAAGAUAAAGACAGAAGAAAACACACAGGAGAAAGGAGGGGAUCCGACGACCGCGAACGGCGGAGCGGCCGCCGGAAAAAGCAAGCAAAAUGGUGGUGAACUUUGGAGAAGAGAGUCGGGGGGAGGAAGGGGUGAGAGGAGAGAGAACCCGUCCUACAUGACCAAGUUGUUACGGACUUUAUGUCUUUCAAGUGACACUAACACAUUCAAAUAAGUUCUAUACAAAUAACUGAAUAAGUAAAGCUUUACAUGGUUAUAGCCCAUAUAAAAGAUUUGAGCGAAGCUGUAAAACUACAUGCAUGUCAUAACUAAACCAACUAUAUAAUAUCACUGAGUGCUAUCCAGAGUUAUAAUAC
rnacentral:lncRNA from 1 species